ACGGGUGAGUAACACGUGGAUAACCUACCUAUAAGACUGGGAUAACUUCGGGAAACCGGAGCUAAUACCGGAUAAUAUAUUGAACCGCAUGGUUCAAUAGUGAAAGACGGUUUUGCUGUCACUUAUAGAUGGAUCCGCGCCGCAUUAGCUAGUUGGUAAGGUAACGGCUUACCAAGGCAACGAUGCGUAGCCGACCUGAGAGGGUGAUCGGCCACACUGGAACUGAGACACGGUCCAGACUCCUACGGGAGGCAGCAGUAGGGAAUCUUCCGCAAUGGGCGAAAGCCUGACGGAGCAACGCCGCGUGAGUGAUGAAGGUCUUCGGAUCGUAAAACUCUGUUAUUAGGGAAGAACAAAUGUGUAAGUAACUAUGCACGUCUUGACGGUACCUAAUCAGAAAGCCACGGCUAACUACGUGCCAGCAGCCGCGGUAAUACGUAGGUGGCAAGCGUUAUCCGGAAUUAUUGGGCGUAAAGCGCGCGUAGGCGGUUUUUUAAGUCUGAUGCGAAAGCCCACGGCUCAACCGUGGAGGGUCAUUGGAAACUGGAAAACUUGAGUGCAGAAGAGGAAAGUGGAAUU
rnacentral:rRNA from 1 species